GUUGCUAGGCAUGGCCUGUUGCCAUGGAGUCUAGGCCGAAGUCUCUCUAGUUAUUCCAUUACAUUUCCAUCUCCAGUUAACACCACAAGAUCACAACCGACACUAGCCAUGGCAGUUCUGCUCUGGACAAAGACCUCGGGCCCCGCUGUCCCAAGUCUCUGGUGAUCCACACACUACUGUCACCUGCUGUGAGAGCAGCACUUUCCACAGGGAGUGCAGACUGAGUCUCCUGUCUUCAUCUUCCAAAUAUUGGGAUUUCACACCCAUGCCACCAUGCCAGAUGAAAAAAGAGCAGCUUUUAGACUAAAAGCUGAUCUAGGGAUGUGGUGAGGCCCUUUCAUCUGAACAUAACAGCUAUUAGCAUCAUCAUCAAAAGUUUUUAGGUCGUGGUCUUUGUGGAACGCCACUGCCGCCUUCUUCACAUUUCACCUGUAGAAUCUGGGCAGCGAUGGGGAUGAGACAACUCAGCUCUUGCCUCUGGGAGGUCAUGUCAGGACCUUGAGAAGCCAUGACCGGGAAUGGAGAUCUGAUGCCCUCUUCCCAUCUCUGCUGGUACUACAUGCAUGUGGUACACAUGUAUAUUCUCAGUUACGCAUGUGUACACAGAAGACAAGCCUUGAAGAUGAAGACCUUCCACCUGAAACCUUACUUUCUUUGCAUGUUAAGUUUCAACUUGGUCUUGGUCCCCAGAUUUUCUGUGCAGGACUUAUGAUGAAGAUUCACAAGCCGAGUGGGAACACUUCAUUCUGGAAUCCCAGUGCUGGAAUAAAUCAAUACAUUUUCUUCUAUAGUUAGGUGGGUGCUAUCACUUUAUCUUAUUAUAAGUACUUCUGAGCUUUAUGACGAUGUCACCAGAUGUACUCGAAAUUUUAAA